rnacentral:rRNA from 1 species
UCAGGUGACACAUCAUCAACGGACCAGGAUAAGGCUUGGUCUAGUUUUAAGAAGAAAGGGAAUAAGACCCUAUUCUUAGAGUUCUCACCGAACAAAUAUGUGACAUGGAACCCACGCGCAGAGUAUCCAUUGUCAGAAGAAGUCGAUCCAAUCAAAAGAGCUGAGAGGUCUAACUUGAUGUUGUGAACAAGCCCAAUAUUUACCUUACUAGGGGUGAUUAUCUUCGUUUCGGCAUUGCUAAUCUAUACAUUGGUUGUCCCACCCAAGUAA